CCGGCCGCAAGGUUAAAACUCAAAUGAAUUGACGGGGGCCCGCACAAGCGGUGGAGCAUGUGGUUUAAUUCGAUGCAACGCGAAGAACCUUACCUACUCUUGACAUCCAGAGAACUUUCCAGAGAUGGUUUGGUGCCUUCGGGAACUAUGAGACAGGUGCUGCAUGGCUGUCGUCAGCUCGUGUUGUGAAAUGUUGGGUUAAGUCCCGCAACGAGCGCAACCCUUAUCCUUUGUUGCCAGCGGUUCGGCCGGGAACUCAAAGGAGACUGCCAGUGAUAAACUGGAGGAAGGUGGGGAUGACGUCAAGUCAUCAUGGCCCUUACGAGUAGGGCUACACACGUGCUACAAUGGCGCAUACAAAGAGAAGCGACCUCGCGAGAGCAAGCGGACCUCAUAAAGUGCGUCGUAGUCCGGAUUGGAGUCUGCAACUCGACUCCAUGAAGUCGGAAUCGCUAGUAAUCGUGGAUCAGAAUGCCACGGUGAAUACGUUCCCGGGCCUUGUACACACCGCCCGUCACACCAUGGGAGUGGGUUGCAAAAGAAGUAGGUAGCUUAACCUUCGGGAGGGCG
rnacentral:rRNA from 1 species